CCUACGGGGAGCAGCAGUGAGGAAUAUUGGUCAAUGGGCGGGAGCCUGAACCAGCCAAGUCGCGUGAGGGAAGACGGUCCUAUGGAUUGUAAACCUCUUUCGGCGGGGAGCAAUGCCGGGCACGCGUGCCCGGAGGGAGAGUACCCGCAGAAUAAGCAUCGGCUAACUCCGUGCCAGCCGCCGCGGUAAUACGGAGGAUGCGAGCGGUAUCCGGAUUUAUUGGGUUUAAAGGGUGCGUAGGCGGAUUUUUAAGUCAGCGGUAAAAUGUCCGGGCUCAACCCGGGCCGGCCGUUGAUACUGGGGAUCUAGAGUGAGCGAGAAGUAUGCGGAAUGCGUGGUGUAGCGGUGAAAUGCAUAGAUAUCACGCAGAACACCGAUUGCGAAGGCAGCAUACCGGCGCCCGACUGACGCUGAGGCACGAAAGCGUAGGGAUCGAACAGGAUUAGAUACCCCUGUAGUC
rnacentral:rRNA from 1 species